rnacentral:rRNA from 1 species
GAAAGCCUGUCUCAGUUCGGAUCGGAGUCUGCAACCCGACUCCGUGAAGCUGGAUUCGCUAGUAAUCGCGCAUCAGCCAUGGCGCGGUGAAUACGUUCCCGGGCCUUGUACACACCGCCCGUCACACCAUGAGAGUCGGGAACACCCGAAGUCCGUAGCCUGACCGCAAGGGGGGCGCGGCCGAAGGUGGGUUCGAUAAUUGGGGUGAAGUCGUAACAAGGUAUC